UCCCUGGUGGUACAGUGGUUAAGACUCUGCGCUUCUAACGCAGGGGUCGUGGGUUCGAUCCCUGGCCAGGGAA